UCAAGUUACACUUCGGUUUCUAGCAUCAGGAGAGUCCCAGUUUUCUCUGAGCCACCAGUUUAGACUUGGACAUUAAACAGUGAACAGCAUUAUCCUGGAGACAUGCACUGCAAUUUAUAAAGAACCCAAAACGAAUUUCUCAAAACUCCCAAAGCAGAAGUUGAGUGGCAGCCGAUAAUUGAAGGUUUCAGUGAAAAGUGGCAAUUUCCAAAUUGUUGCGGCGCCAUUGACGGCAAUCGUGUGUAUCACAAAGGUGAAAAAAUCUGGUUCACUUUAUUUCAAAUAUAAGAAGACAUUCAGCGUUGUGUUGCUCACCGUAGUCGACUCAAAUUAUAAAUUUCUCUACAUUGAUGUUGGUGCUCCCGGCUCGGAAGGCGAUGGAGGUGUGUGGCAGACAACUCCGCUGCAGAAAGCAAUUGAAAGUAAGAAGGCCGGAAUACCACCCCUUGUGAAAGUAAGAACGUCACCCGACAUGGAUCUGCCUGCAGUGUUUGUUGGCGAUGACGCAUUUCCGCUGUUGAAACUACGAUGACAUCAUAUUCAGGACAGCCCUUGCCACUCUAUCGGCGGAUAUUCAGCUACAGACUAUCAAGGGCACGCCGUGUGGUUGAAAACGCGUUUGACAUUCUGGCCAACCGCUUCAGAUUUCUCCACACAUUCGUGGACGCUAAACCGGAGAGAGUGGCAACCUAUGUCUCGUCUGCAUGUGCGCUGCACAACUUCCUAGGCAUCGAUGUAGGAGAUCGUCCAAGAGAACAGAGUGCUGAACCUGUGCAACGAGACACGUUCUUCCCUGUUCAGCCAGUCCGUGGCAGUCGGUUGAAGGGAGCAGCUUGUGCAUUGCGCGAUGGAUUGUGCGAUUAUUUCAAUGGUGAAGGGGCAGUGCCUUGGCAAAUGUAAUGUGUUUGCAGAUCCAAUGGAGCACCGCCGACCACCAAAGUGAUGGAAGACCUGAGUUAAGGUGAAGAUGCGCAGCUCGGGCGCUCACGUGCUUCUUUUAGGGGCGUAGCUCCUCUUAGUCUAACCUUGUCACGUCUCCGUUGUCCGGCG
rnacentral:lncRNA from 1 species